rnacentral:rRNA from 1 species
AGAGUUUGAUCAUGGCUCAGAUUGAACGCUGGCGGCAGGCUUAACACGUGCAAGUCGAACGGUAGCAGGGAGAAAGCUUGCUUUCUUUGCUGACGAGUGGCGGACGGGUGAGUAAUGCUUGGGAAUCUGGCUUAUGGAGGGGGAUAACGACGGGAAACUGUCGCUAAUACCGCGUAGUGUCGAGAGACGAAAGACCGGGACCGCAAGGCCGGUUGCCAUAAGAUGAGCCCAAGUGGGAUUAGGUAGUUGGUGGGGUAAAGGCCUACCAAGCCUGCGAUCUCUAGCUGGUCUGAGAGGAUGGCCAGCCACACUGGAACUGAGACACGGUCCAGACUCCUACGGGAGGCAGCAGUGGGGAAUAUUGCGCAAUGGGGGCAACCCUGACGCAGCCAUGCCGCGUGAAUGAAGAAGGCCUUCGGGUUGUAAAGUUCUUUCGGUGAUGAGGAAGGCGGUUAGUUUAAUAGGCUAAUCGAUUGACGUUAAUCACAGAAGAAGCACCGGCUAACUCCGUGCCAGCAGCCGCGGUAAUACGGAGGGUGCGAGCGUUAAUCGGAAUAACUGGGCGUAAAGGGCACGCAGGCGGUUGCUUAAGUGAGGUGUGAAAUCCCCGGGCUUAACCUGGGAAUUGCAUUUCAGACUGGGCAGCUAGAGUAUUUUAGGGAGGGGUAGAAUUCCACGUGUAGCGGUGAAAUGCGUAGAGAUGUGGAGGAAUACCGAAGGCGAAGGCAGCCCCUUGGGGAAAUACUGACGCUCAUGUGCGAAAGCGUGGGGAGCAAACAGGAUUAGAUACCCUGGUAGUCCACGCUGUAAACGCUGUCGAUUUGGGGAUUGGGCUUUAAGCUUGGUGCCCGUAGCUAACGUGAUAAA